rnacentral:rRNA from 1 species
UACGAGGGGGGCAAGCGUUGUUCGGAAUUAUUGGGCGUAAAGGGCGCGUAGGCGGUGCGGUAAGUCUGAUGUGAAAUCUCCGGGCUCAACUCGGAGUCUGCAUCAGAAACUGCCGUGCUCGAGUGUGGGAGAGGUGAGUGGAAUUCCCGGUGUAGCGGUGAAAUGCGUAGAUAUCGGGAAGAACACCUAUGGCGAAGGCAGCUCUCUGGGACGGUACUGACGCUGAGACGCGAAAGCGUGGGGAGCGAACAGG